UCGAACGAGAAAGUGGAGCAAUCCAUGAGUACAGUGGCGUACGGGUGAGUAACACGUGGGUAAUCUACCUUUUAGUGUGGAAUAACUUUGGGAAACCGAAGCUAAUACCGCAUAAGCUCGAGAGAGGAAAGCAGCAAUGCGCUGAAAGAGGAGCCCGCGGCCGAUUAGCUAGUUGGCAGGGUAAGAGCCUACCAAGGCAAAGAUCGGUAGCCGGCCUGAGAGGGCACACGGCCACACUGGCAUUGAAACACGGGCCAGACUCCUACGGGAGGCAGCAGUGGGGAAUCCUGCACAAUGGGGGAAACCCUGAUGCAGCGACGCCGCGUGAGCGAUGAAGCCCUUCGGGGUGUAAAGCUCUUUCGGCAGGGAAGAUAAUGACGGUACCUGCAGAAGCAGCUGCGGCUAACUACGUGCCAGCAGCCGCGGUAAUACGUAGGCAGCAAGCGUUGUUCGGAGUUACUGGGCGUAAAGGGUGUGUAGGCGGUUGUUUAAGUUUGGUGUGAAAUCUCUCGGCUUAACCGGGAGGGUGCGCCGAAUACUGAAUGACUAGAGUGCGGGAGAGGAAAGUGGAAUUCCUGGUGUAGCGGUGAAAUGCGUAGAUAUCAGGAGGAACACCGGUGGUGUAGACGGCUUUCUGGACCGUAACUGACGCUGAGACACGAAAGCGUGGGUAGCAAACAGGAUUAGAUACCCUGGUAGUCCA
rnacentral:rRNA from 1 species